rnacentral:rRNA from 1 species
GACAGAGGGUGCAAACGUUGUUCGGAAUUACUGGGCAUAAAGCGCACGUAGGUGGUCUGUUAAGUCAAGUGUGAAAUACCCCGGCUCAACCGGGGAAUUGCGCUUGAUACUGGCGGGCUUGAGGUCGGUAGGGGUGGGUGGAACUCCAGGUGGAGCGGUGAAAUGCGUAGAUAUCUGGAGGAACACCGGUGGCGAAAGCGACCCACUGGACCGAAUCUGACACUGAGGUGCGAAAGCUAGGGUAGCAAACGGG